ensembl:rRNA 5_8S_rRNA 5.8S ribosomal RNA
AACUCUUAGCGGUGGGUCACUCGGCCCGCACGGCGAUGAAGAACGCAGCUCGCUGCGAGAUUGAUCAUCGACACUUCGAACGCACCUUGCGGCCCCGGGUUCCGACACCUGUCUGAGGGUCG